GACGAACGCUGGCGGCGUGCUUAACACAUGCAAGUCGAACGAAGUGGCGAACGGGUGAGUAACGCGUAAUCAACCUGCCCUUCAGAGGGUGACAACAGUUGGAAACGACUGCUAAUACAGCAUACUGAAGGUGGGGAUUGCGUCUGAUUCGCGAGUUGGAGGGGUAACGGCCCACCAAGGCGAUGAUCAGUAGCCGGGCUGGGAGGAUGAGAGGCGACACUGGGGCGGAGACACGGCCCAGACUCCGACGGGGGGCAGCAGUGGGGAAUCUUCCGCAAUGGAGGAAAGUCUGACGGGGCAACGCGGCGUGAGUGAGGACGGCCCUCGGGGUGUAAAGCUCUGUUAAUCGGGACGCGGUACCGGAAUAGAAAGCCACGGCUAACUACGGGCCAGCAGCCGCGGUAAUUC
rnacentral:rRNA from 1 species